CGGCGCUAUCUCCUAUUUAUCUCUCUGCAUCGGGCUAGGACAGCGCUCGCGUCUGUUGAGGCUCAAGCGCAUCUCUCGCCGCGGGGCGGCAUCUGGGCACCCGGGCCCCGGGGUUCAGAGGCCGGUAACUUUGCUAAUCUUCCCCAGUGGCUGAGGGACGUCGCACAACCGCUGAGCCUUGUCCUCAGAGACUAAACAAGGCGAAGAACAGGCUGUAAACACAUAUCCUGACACACAAGCUACCCGGCGCAUAAUGAGGUAGCAGCCUCCAGCCGGCCACCGUGACGAACGCAGAACAAAAGCGCUCCCUCCACGCCUCCUCCAACAAAGGGGCCACCAGCCCCAGCGCUCCCCGAAGGCUGCGGGGCUCCCGGCUGCCGGCUGCGGAGCUGCAGCGCGCAAACUUCCCGGGGCUCCCGGGGCUACCGGCGCCACCGAGCCGGGGCCGCAGAGGGAGGAAGCGCACGCCGCCGGGAGAAAGCAGGGAAUUGCUCUUGGAGAAUGUGAAGACAGUUUGCUUCUUGACAAGCGAGCGAGCGGGCGCCCAGAUUUCUGCAGCCUUUCGAAGUCUCCCCGAGGGAAAAGCAGUUAAAGCCACCAGGGAAGGGUUCUGCGCAAGACAGCCGCCCCCUUUGGCCCCAGACUCUCCAGCCUGGGGCUCCCCCUUUAGGUACAGUCAACUGAUGACCUCAAACUCCGAGGAUGGAGCUGAAGUUUGGGGUUGGGAAAACCUCUUGAAUAACAACUGUGGAGGAGAAAGAGGAGACACCAGCAUUUCUUCCCCGCCUGG